GAUUUCUGACAAAGCGGGGCGGCCCGUGCUCUUAAUGGGUGCUGUGUGCCGUGUCGUGUUUGUCAUCCUUCCAGAGAGCUACGUCUACCAUUCAUUUGGCCGGACGUACGUGAUCUGGAUCGAUUACUUUGAAAAAAUUAGAGUGUUUAAAGCAGGCUUAUGCUGUGAAUACAUUAGCAUGGAAUAAUAAUUUAGGACUUCGGUCCUAUUUUGUUGGUUUCUAGGACAGAAGUAAUGAUUGAUAGGGACAGUUGGGGGUGCUAGUAUUCAGCGGCCAGAGGUGAAAUUCUCGGAUUCGCUGAAGACUAACUUAUGCGAAAGCAUU
rnacentral:rRNA from 1 species